UGGCGUAUUGUAUAAAUACAAUCAUAAUUUAUAUAAUGACCAUUUCUAAUAAUCUAAUGUGUGAAACUGAAAUGUUCAGUUAGUUUAAUAAAACUAAUUUAACACUUUGGAAAGCUAUUCUUAAACGUAUUUGUUGUUUGAAUUUUGAUUUGAAAAUUAAUACAUGGAUGGUACCUACGAUUAAAUAAUAGUCAAUAUCGUCUUAGUUAUUAUGCAAAUAUGAAAUGGGUAGGUAUUAGGAAGGCAAUCAUAAAAUACAUUAUAGACUCAAAUUACUAUCUUUCCGGCUAUCCGCAAAUAUUAAUAAUAUUUAUAGUUAUUUUUGCAUCGUUGAAGGUUUGAUUAAUGUUUGUUCGUAUAUAGAUUUGUAUAGGUACGAUAUAUUAUUUUAUUCUGGUGUAUCAAUAUUCGAUAACGACCAUUGGUCAAUAUAAAAGUCAUCAUUAUUUCUGAACACAAGCAAUAAUAAUAAUAAUAAUAAUAACAACAACAACGACCCAAAAACGUAUUUUAAAACAUUUAGGUAAUAAUAUUGUCUGCAACGGCUUAAAAUAAGAUGUCGUUUAAUAUAACAGCCUAUAGGUAAUAAUAUAUGGAGAGGUUUAGGUAUACGCUACGAGAUAAUAAUAAAUAAUACUAUCCCAUCCAGUAUUGUAAGCCUCAAAACGACAUUAGACACUAUAUAUUCGCCACGGUACCCCCAGUGAAGAAGAAGUUAAAUGGGAAGGAAGAAAAAAAAAAUUAGAUGAAAAUGAAUAGAAAAAAAUGACAUUAAAUCUCGCUAAUCUCGUUGUAGGUAGUGUAGACGUGUAGUAUAAUAGUUGCCGUAUUGUCGCCGUUUAAUAAUUGCAGUACGUGCGUCGCGAAACAAUAGAGGUUAGAUCGCGUAGCAUAUGGAUUAUAAUAAUAAUAAUAAUAAUAAUAAUAAUAAUAAUAAUAAUAAUAAUAAUAAUAUACGCUGCAGAUGUUUAUUAUAGUGAACUGUGGAAAUUGUCACGUACACUUCAAAAGGCAAUACUCGGGGGCGCAUAAUGUACGUCGAUGCGUAUGCGCGUGUAGUACCUACGUAUUAUUAAUGUGCGAUAAUGUCGACUUUAUUAAUAUGGCCGUCGCCGUGGUAAAUGGUUCGAAACAUUUUGCAGCAGUCGGGCGAGGACAUUUUGAACCCUGUAGUCACUAUUGUGAACUUGUAUGCCAAUAACCGCGUAACUGCAGUGUUUAUUUGAUCCGAAAUAAUAAUAAUCCAAAUGAUUUUCCGGGUUCUCUUAUUCAGACAUCAAAAUUGGAUUUACCAUUUAUAAGAGGACAAAUGAAAAAUGAAUGGCCAUCCGAAAGUUCUUUUGUGAAUACACAGGAAUUGAGUUAUCUCCAAAAUUUAAAUUUCAAAAUUUCCAAAAUACGUAAGUACAACGUUCAGUUAAAUAUUUUUUCUUUGGAUAAAAUCGUUGAGGGUCUAAAACUAAACUCGUAAGUUAAUUUGUCUUAUGUCAUGCUCUUUGAAUCCAACUAUUCUACACACACACGUUGACGACAACCAGUCAUACUUGUUAUAUGACCGUUCAAAAAUGAUAUUUAUUUCCAAGAUAGGAUUGUCUGGGGGGAAAUAGUGGUAGAAAAUGUUCUGUAUUAACUGAUGGUCUCUGUCAAAUACACUCCAUUUCCUUUUCAAAGGUCAAAAGAAGACAACAUUAACAGCUGACCACAAAACAAAUACCAGAUAUUUCACAAGCAGGCGAUUUGUUUAUACAAAAGAGCUCAUUGUCGUUUUGCAUACUGAGUUCUGACAUAGCCCUCAUGGGGUGGAUUUAAAUGCAAAAGCGGCUGUCGAUGAUGCAUUCUGAUGGAAUCAUAAAAAUAAUUCGGAAGAACGCAAAAAACACAAUACAUAAUAUACCGAUAGGCAAUAGGUACAGUUGUUUUGAAUUCCAACCACCGCUAGGUUAGUAUAUAAUGCAAUAUGUAUUCAGAUAAUAAUUCACUGCCCACUGGAUUAUGACCAGAAGUUAGAAAAAAACACAUCCAAAACAAAAAUGUUACAUCAAAUAUUAUAAACUAUGAUAACAUGUUUACCCUAAAAAACGUACGAGAAUAUACUAUUGUAAUACUAUACACGUAUAUUACUUUCUUAAUAAUUAGUAAUUAAAAUUAUAUUAGUGAUAUUUUGUAAACAAUAAUGUACACCAUAAUAAAGGUAGGUACCUAUACCACCUACCUGCUUACUGUGUUAUUUGAUUUCAAUAUUUAAACAAUCUCAUUAUAAUUAUAAGUUAAGAAUAUAAUUUUAAAUAAUUAAUAAAUUAAUACAUUUCUGUUUUAAUUUUUAUAAAAUGUAUAGUAUUUUUCCUACACACUAGUCCAUAAUUGUUGAUACAUAUAAUAAGCGUAAGUGCCUAACACUGUAACAUCUGCUGUAACCAUACAGCGGGUGAUUCAUCUAACGCAAGACAAAUAUUAUUAAUUUAAAAACUAUAAACGUUUUUUUCAAAGCUUAUACCGAGCAGAAUAUUUGUUGGAGUAUUUUUAUAUAAUAUAUGAAUCGAAUAUUAGACGAGUAUUUUAGGAUUUCCACGUAUUUAAAGUUUAGAUUAGCGAAGUAGAGUGGUACAGGGGUACCCUUUAAAAUGUUAGUAGGUACACUACUUUGCUUAUCUAAAUUUUAAAUAUUUAUGUGCAUAAUAAACUACUUAUCUAAAACUUGAUUUUUAUGGAUCAAAAUACUCCGAAUAAUAUUCUGUUUCGGAAUAUGAAAUUCAAAAUAUAUGAUAAUAUCAUUUAAAAGAGAAAAAAAACUUUAAAAAUGAUGUUGAUAAAGAAAGUAAAAAGUAUCAAUUUUUCCAAAAAUGUUGUUUUGUAAUGACUUAAAAUAAUGUAAAAUAAAUAUAUUCAAACACGUUAUCGUUUGCUGAAGUAAUGAGUGUCUUACGUUAAUGGAUAACUCUGCAUAAAAAGAAAAAUCUGUGAGUUUGAUUCAUAAUUAUAGCUUUUUUCAAUCAAGUGUUGUUUAUUUGAUUCAUACAAAUUUGAUAACAUAGUAUUUAUAAAACUUAUUUUGGUAAUAAAUUUGAAAAAUGUAUUGUUCUAGAAUAGUUAAAUUAGAACACUUUUGAUGUAUCUAUCUAAUUAGAUACGGUUAAACGAUAUUUAUUUGUAUGUUAAGUAUACAGAAGUACAGAACAAUAUUCUGGGAAAUAUUAUUGUUAAUGAUUAGGUGUAUAGUAAACGACAGGUGAUGAGGAAUAUAAGUGACUUAAAAAUACUUUGAGUUAUAUAAUUAUAUCAACUUCGACAACGUUUUCAACUGAUCUAGGAUACAUAUCAUUAAGUACUUGAACCAAUCGGUUAUUUUAGAUAUAUAUAUAUAUAUCAGUAAUAACGGAAGUGAAUCGAACUGUAAACUACCGUUAUGAGUUCGUAAAGUCAUUUCUGUUGCGAAACACAUGGUUUCACUAGAAGGUUAACGAUCGAGGAAUUUAAUCAAAUGUUUAGAACUACUUCUUUGAAAGAUGUUGGAUUUAUCUCUUGGGUACAAUAGCUAUAAUAUAUCGAUAUACACAUAGAUUGGCAGAAUAACAGUUAAUUUAAAGCAAGUGUGUCAUAGAGAAAAAAAGUGGACACACUGCAAAAAUUAAUUUAAUCAAGCAAUCUAAAUUGUGUCGAGCGCAUAAAUAAUGUCUUACAAAGGUGCAGAGCCAUAUUAAUAUUACUCCUUUAUCGUUUUGCACAUACAUAAUGCACAAAAGAGUAUUCUACAUUCUUUGGAACGGGCAAUCUCAUCGCUGUUGGUAGAUUAUAAUAUGGGUUAUUUUAUAGACAAUUUUUUUUCUUAUUCGUUAUAAAUUGUCUUAGUUUUAAUAUUUCAAAUUUUAGAAGUACAAUUAAUGUAGAAGCCUUUAA
rnacentral:lncRNA from 1 species